GUUGUUGAUGAAGAUGAGAUGGUUGGUUACAUCUUGAAUGGUUUAGAUUUUGAUUAUAAUCCUGUCGUGUCUUCCAUUCUUGGUCAUGCUGAUCCUGUCUCUAUGAGUGAUCUUUAUGCUCAAUUGUUGUCCUAUGAAA